UACGUAGGGUGCGAGCGUUAAUCGGAAUUACUGGGCGUAAAGCGUGCGCAGGCGGUUCGUUGUGUCGGUGGUGAAAUCCCCGGGCUUAACCUGGGAAUGGCCAUGGAAACUGGCGAACUGGAGUGCGGCAGAGGGGGGUGGAAUUCCGCGUGUAGCAGUGAAAUGCGUAGAGAUGUGGAGGAACACCGAUGGCGAAGGCAGCCCCCUGGGCUAGCACUGACGCUCAGGCACGAAAGCGUGGGGAGCAAACAGG
rnacentral:rRNA from 1 species